rnacentral:rRNA from 1 species
UACGAAGGGGACUAGCGUUGUUCGGAAUCACUGGGCGUAAAGCGCACGUAGGCGGAUGUGUCAGUCAGGGGUGAAAUCCCGGGGCUCAACCUCGGAACUGCCUUUGAUACAGAACGUCUCGAGUCCGGAAGAGGUGGGUGGAAUUCCUAGUGUAGAGGUGAAAUUCGUAGAUAUUAGGAAGAACACCGGUGGCGAAGGCGGCCCACUGGUCCGGUACUGACGCUGAGGUGCGAAAGCGUGGGGAGCAAACAGG